rnacentral:rRNA from 1 species
GUGUCAGCCGCCGCGGUAAUACGUAGGUGGCAAGCGUUGUCCGGAAUUAUUGGGCGUAAAGCGCGCGCAGGUGGGAUCUUAAGUCUGUUCUGAAAGUUCGGAGCUUAACUCCGUGAUGGGAUGGAAACUGGGAUUCUUGAGUACCGGAGAGGAAAGCGGAAUUCCCCGUGUAGCGGUGAAAUGCGUAGAUAUGGGGAGGAACACCAGUGGCGAAGGCGGCUUUCUGGACGGUGUCUGACACUGAGGCGCGAAAGCUAGGGGAGCGAACGGGAUUAGAAACCCUCGUAGUCC